AAGACCAGUCAGAACUCUCAGUUCCAAUCUGAAGAAAUAUGAGAGGUGAAAAGAUUGUGUUUUAUAUGUGGCUAAGCUUUUAGGGCGGUCUUCUGCAUGUAGAAAACUCAGAAUUCAUUUCCCUUGUGUGCCUGCCUCCGGCUUCUAUCUGCAUCAUUCCCUGCCCAGGACUGACUGCAAGUUCCCAGGCUCUGAGGUUUCCUGGCUGGUAGCGUAGUGAAAGGUGAAAGUUUGCACCUCCUUUAAGUAGAGAAGAAAACUGAAAUUUGGCUUACUACAUCUUAUCCACAUGCCCUGAUCACUGGGGCAUUGGGUGAAAGAGGAUUGUCACUUUACCCCAUGUCAGCUAGAAGAGUGAUAGCUGACCUGUUGUCAGUAGAAAAGUGUUCAUGUGAACAACUCACCAAGAUGUCAGGUGUGUGAACUCUAAAAGAGGAAGAUGGGCCUCCUUCUGAAAAAGCUGCUGUCAAGAUAAAUGGAAAUCAGUUUCCACAAGCCAUCAAGAGAUGUCCAGUGAAAAGAUCUUUCUUUUGGCUCUGUGUGGAAAAACCUGCCCAUGCACGACUGCCUCAAGGAUCUGACAGGAGGAAUUGAGUGUGCUGCCAAGAUAUUAAAUGAAAUUCCCAGGAAGACAUUAAGUUCACUAAAAGAGCCUCAAAGACAGAGAGGGAAGGAAAUGGGCAAGCUCUCUGCUGAAGAUUUCCCUGGAGGAUAACCAUCAACAUGGGACUGUACUAGAAGAAAGAUCCCUUGAGGUUGUGCUUUGUCGCCAGCACAAGCCAGUGAGGGAUACCUGGGGCUAGCCAUGGUAGAAAACUGGAGGAUUCUGACCCAGCCUGGAGAAGGAACAAAGGCUUACAGCCAGAGCAAUGGUCACUGCCAUCCGUCACUUCUUCACUCUUCUGUCUGACAGGAGACAAGGUGAACCUCUUCUCAUCCCUUUGGGGGCACUCUGCCCCUUGUCAUCUCUUCGUCAAGCAGCAGUGACAGCACCGACAUGAGCUGAAGGUGCACAAUGUCUUGGAAGGAGGAUCAUGGAGGUGAACACAAUCUUGGAACAAAAGUAAGCCCAAUAUGGAGACAUGCAAUGCUUUCUGACUGAGAAUGUGUUUCCUAUCCAUGAAUCUAAGGAUUCCGUGAUGCUGAAGAUGGCACCCAAGCAUAUUUUGAAUGGCAUUUGGCAAGACUACCCUGUUGUGAUAGGGGAAAGAGCUGAGAGAAAUGGUCUUUUCAGAAUAGUGUCCUGCAAAUGUGGCCAGAGUGGGAUCCUUGUGGAAGGCACAACAGCUUUCCUCUGCAUCUCCUGGCUCCACUGUCUCUACCCUUAACACCAACAUUGGAAACAGAAAAUACAGGUUCUCUGAGGCAGAAUGCAGCACGUCCCAGUAGCAGGAACACAACUGGGAGCACAGCUUUUCCCCACCACCUCCUUAAGGAGUCCAGAUCUUUGGGAACUUCUUUAAAGAUAAACUUUCCUACUGGUAUGUACCAGGAGAGAAAUUCAGUCUCUGAUCUAACUGCUAUUGCCAUUUGAAAGUGAUAUAUUUUUCCGGACGACAAAUUUGAUGUCAGACUUCCCUAUUGGAGUUUACUGCCACCUGAGGACCAAGAAAUGAGCAUAGGUGUACUUCCUAGUGACUAAUUGGAAUGCUUUCUUUCAACUAUUAGUCAUUGUUUUUCCUGCAGGCUAGACCUGUAUUUGUCAUGAGCUGCAAAUUCUCCAAUAAAUUAUGAAUAGGCAUGUAAAUGUUUAAAUCCAUGUGUUUGAAUGAGAGGCAAGACAGGAAAAUAAGAGUAAUUCUUGAUCUGCUCUGAUUUUCACAAUGUGACAGACUGUCAUGGUUAAAAGGACCUUCAUAGAUUUUUUUAUUCACUUCUAUAUUAUUUGCUUGAUGUAAAAUGUAGGUGGAAAAAAAAGAGAAUCAUGGCGAGGUGUCAAGUUAUAACUUAAUUACUUCUAGAGAAUAUACAACUGAACGUGUACAGUGCUAUGUUAUAAAAAUAAAGUACAUGUUAAAUAGA